GCAGUCGAACGCUUUGUCUUUACUUGAUCUGAAGAGCUUGCUCUGAUUUGAUUUUAUCUGACAAAGAGUGGCGAACGGGUGAGUAACACGUGGGUAACCUACCUCUUAGCAGGGGAUAACAUUUGGAAACAAGUGCUAAUACCGUAUAAUACCAACAACCGCAUGGUUGUUGGUUGAAAGAUGGUUCUGCUAUCACUAAGAGAUGGACCCGCGGUGCAUUAGCUAGUUGGUAAGGUAACGGCUUACCAAGGCAAUGAUGCAUAGCCGAGUUGAGAGACUGAUCGGCCACAAUGGGACUGAGACACGGCCCAUACUCCUACGGGAGGCAGCAGUAGGGAAUCUUCCACAAUGGGCGCAAGCCUGAUGGAGCAACGCCGCGUGUGUGAUGAAGGGUUUCGGCUCGUAAAACACUGUUAUAAGAGAAGAACGGCACUGAGAGUAACUGUUCAGUGUGUGACGGUAUCUUACCAGAAAGGAC
rnacentral:rRNA from 1 species